CNUGCAGUCGAACGGUAACAGGAAGCAGCUUGCUGCUUCGCUGACGAGUGGCGGACGGGUGAGUAAUGUCUGGGAAACUGCCUGAUGGAGGGGGAUAACUACUGGAAACGGUAGCUAAUACCGCAUAACGUCGCAAGACCAAAGAGGGGGACCUUCGGGCCUCUUGCCAUCGGAUGUGCCCAGAUGGGAUUAGCUAGUAGGUGGGGUAACGGCUCACCUAGGCGACGAUCCCUAGCUGGUCUGAGAGGAUGACCAGCCACACUGGAACUGAGACACGGUCCAGACUCCUACGGGAGGCAGCAGUGGGGAAUAUUGCACAAUGGGCGCAAGCCUGAUGCAGCCAUGCCGCGUGUAUGAAGAAGGCCUUCGGGUUGUAAAGUACUUUCAGCGGGGAGGAAGGCGAUGAGGUUAAUAACCUUGUCGAUUGACGUUACCCGCAGAAGAAGCACCGGCUAACUCCGUGCCAGCAGCCGCGGUAAUACGGAGGGUGCAAGCGUUAAUCGGAAUUACUGGGCGUAAAGCGCACGCAGGCGGUCUGUCAAGUCGGAUGUGAAAUCCCCGGGCUCAACCUGGGAACUGCAUUCGAAACUGGCAGGCUAGAGUCUUGUAGAGGGGGGUAGAAUUCCAGGUGUAGCGGUGAAAUGCGUAGAGAUCUGGAGGAAUANCGGUGGCGAAGGCGGCCCCCUGGACAAAGACUGACGCUCAGGUGCGAAAGCGUGGGGAGCAA
rnacentral:rRNA from 1 species